rnacentral:rRNA from 1 species
AAUGAAUAAAAUUUUAAUGGCCGCAGUAAUUUGACUGUGCAAAGGUAGCAUAAUCAUUAGUCUUUUAAUUGAAGGCUUGUAUGAAUGGUUGGACGAAGUAUAAUCUGUUUCAUAAAAAUUUAUAAUAGAAUUUUAUAUUUUAGUGAAAAAGCUAAAAUUUUUUUAAAAGACGAGAAGACCCUAUAAAUCUUUAUAAUUUUUAUUAUUUUAAUUUUUUUGAUUAAUUUUAUUAUUAUAAUUGAAAUUAUUUUAUUGGGGUGAUAUUAAAAUUUAAAUAACUUUUAAUUUUUUUUUCAUUAAUUUAUGUUUUGUUGAUCCAUUAAUAAUGAUUAUUAGAAUAAGUUACUUUAGGGAUAACAGCGUAAUUUUUUUGGAGAGUUCUUAUUGAUAAAAAAGUUUGCGACCUCGAUGUUGGAUUAAGAAAUAAUUUUAGGUGUAGAUGCUUAAA